rnacentral:rRNA from 1 species
GAUGAACGCUGGCGGCGUGCCUAAUACAUGCCAGUCGAGCGAACGGACGAGAAGCUUGCUUCUCUGAUGUUAGCGGCGGACGGGUGAGUAACACGUGGAUAACCUACCUAUAAGACUGGGAUAACUUCGGGAAACCGGAGCUAAUACCGGAUAAUGUUUUGAACCGCAUGGUUCAAAAGUGAAAGACGGUCUUGCUGUCACUUAUAGAUGGAUCCGCGCUGCAUUAGCUAGUUGGUAAGGUAACGGCUUACCAAGGCAACGAUGCAUAGCCGACCUGAGAGGGUGAUCGGCCACACUGGAACUGAGACACGGUCCAGACUCCUACGGGAGGCAGCAGUAGGGAAUCUUCCGCAAUGGGCGAAAGCCUGACGGAGCAACGCCGCGUGAGUGAUGAAGGUCUUCGGAUCGUAAAACUCUGUUAUUAGGGAAGAACAUAUGUGUAAGUAACUGUGCACAUCUUGACGGUACCUAAUCAGAAAGCCACGGCUAACUACGUG